UACGGGGGGGGCAAGCGUUGUUCGGAUUUACUGGGCGUAAAGGGCGCGUAGGCGGCCACCGCAAGUCGGUUGUGAAAUCUCUGGGCUUAACCCAGAAAGGUCAACUGAUACUGCGGGGCUAGAGUGCAGAAGGGGCAACUGGAAUUCUCGGUGUAGCGGUGAAAUGCGUAGAUAUCGAGAGGAACACCUGCGGCGAAGGCGGGUAGCUGGGCCGACACUGACGCUGAGGCGCGAAAGCCAGGGGAGCGAACGGG
rnacentral:rRNA from 1 species